rnacentral:rRNA from 1 species
UACGUAGGGGGCAAGCGUUGUCCGGAAUCAUUGGGCGUAAAGAGCGCGUAGGCGGCUCGAUAAGUCUGCUGUGAAAGUUCAGGGCUCAACCCUGAAAUGCCGGUGGAAACUGGCGGGCUAGAGUCCGGAAGAGGCGAGUGGAAUUCCUGGUGUAGCGGUGAAAUGCGCAGAUAUCAGGAAGAACACCCGUGGCGAAGGCGGCUCUCUAGUACGGUACUGACGCUGAGACGCGAAAGCGUGGGGAGCGAACAGG